rnacentral:lncRNA from 1 species
UUUUAAAUAUCAAAUGCCAAGUAUAUUGAUCUAGGGGAUAAGCUGAAACUAUGCUUCCUAGCACAGAGAGAAUACACGAUCAGCAAUGGCAAAAGCUUAGUUCACACAUUGCCUGAUGCGACCAAAAUAAACAAUAAACAACUCAGCCUACAAAUACACGCAUAUUGUCUUUGCCCAUAGCAGCAAGUUUUCAAUGUAUUACAUGCACCUCACUGCCAACAGCAACCAAUGAAAAUUGCAAGCAAUUUUUUGUUCUAGUUUAAUUAGGAGUCGUCCAUAAACAUUUGUUACUAUCCUACCAUCCUUGAACUAAGUGGCUGCCGGUGCUGUAUGUACGCGCUCAUCAAUAGAAUCAGAGAUGGCGCCGGCGAUUAUCUCAUCAUGGAGUCCAUUGAUCAGCGAUGUCCCCUAUGACAACAUCAAAGUACUGAGUGGUACGAAAAAAAGAACAAAAUGAAUAAAAUCCAGUAUAAUAAAGAUGGUACAAUAGUUUUUCAGACUCAGUGAUAUGGAGAUGUUACUCAAAUUUUCAGAUACACUCUGUACAAGGUCAGUGUAGCUCGGAUUUUUUUCAAUCCAUCUCCAAAUAAAACAAAACUGCAUCCCACGGGGUUGGUCAAUAUUCUGGUGCAGACUUCACUAUCCUGAAUGAUAUCUGAAGUGCGAAUAAUAAGUUCGUUUAUUAAGAUGGAUAGUUUAAAACCAAAAAAAUCACAAACCACUUUAUUGUAUAAUUUAUCCAUUAAAUUAAGAUCAGUGCCAAAUACAUAAUUAAACCAAAAAUUAAUUUAACUACAACCAUGCAUAGUAAUCAGAGCAGAUGUUCCCACCCAACCUAUCACCCCUGUACAUACUACAGACUUCGUCCAAAAUUCACACUGCCGAAUCACAACCAUCCAAUACUCUUAGUCUUAUACAUACUGCAUGUAUUAUAUCUUGAUUUUGUGAGAGAUUGCUAACCAGAUAACGAUGAGAAAAUCAAGUAAUCUCAAAUUAUACAUAUAACUUACUAAAAGUGUCCACUCCCUAGCCCGUUCAGCAUUUUCAACAGAAAGUAAUGGAACCACCAACAUAAAAAGGGUAAGAUUGUGAUCAGAAGACUGUAGCUUACCAAGAUUAUUCUUUUUUUCCUGUCUACAGUGGGGUCCUGAACUUCUGAUCAUCACGGCUGCAGUACAGACAACAGAGAAGCUUACACUUGAUUAGAUUUAGAACUGAUUACCAUUAGCCCGACUGCGUUGUAGGUACCAUGUUACCUUGAAGGUACUAUGAAUAAAAUAAAUGUCUUACUCUGAAGUCUCGAUGAACAUAAUAAAGAUAUAUGUAGGGAAUAUAGAGUAACCCAAAAGGAGAACUGAUCCAAUUGAAAGGGGUCGUGUGAGGAAUGAAACAACUCCAUUAACACGUCAGACCAGGAUAAAACAAUCUAACAACAGUCAAAUAAAUAGACGAGCUGGUAUACUUGAAUUCCACUGCAGAAACAGGGGUGAUUACUUUUCAUUCUUAUUCCCCAAUAGGUAUUUUUUUAAGGUGGAUCAAAUGCACUCCAUUGUAUUAAUCAUUAGUCACUGCUGUGUCAGGUUAGUUUUAGCGUUUCAGGCAAAAGAUGAGCUCCAAAGAGUUUAUUAAAUCUGUCUAGCACCCUAGCUAGCAUAGGAUUACACCACCCAUAAUUCUUCGCAUGGUUUGUGGCACAGGAUGGCGCUGUCGCACUCCUGCAAUUGACGUGUGGUUAAAGUAUGACCAGCAGCUCAUUCACUUAAGAAGACAAACAAUAAUUGGUAGACACCUAGAGGAAAUGGAGUGAGAAAUGGCUCAGAUUAAGCAUUUGUAUUUGGUUCUGCAAUAAUAAUAACAUGGUUAGAACAUAAAUUACCUAAUACUCUGUUGUACGGAAUUGUUCUAACUCCAUCGACGAAUUGGAUCUGGGGCAAGUGUCUUAUAAUGCACAAAGUCUGCCACAAGACUGAGCAUCAAUUUUAUGCCAACAAUGUAUGGAUAAAGUAAUCCUUACUUGAUACAACUAUGAAAAAAAGGUAGUUAUACACAGAAGGCUAGAAAAGCUACAUCAAUUUUGUGUGUAAACAGAGAGUCCUGCAAGUGAUGCUCCAAUGGGUAGCCAAUGGAUAAAUCUACACCCAUGGGGGCACCUUGUGUGGCAGACUUGACAACCUGACAACCUGAUGAAAAAGCUAAGGACAUAAUACCUGGGUGUAGGUUUGUACAAUAGUUGAGGUUCAGAUCACUCAACUCUGGGGAUUUCACAUACAAAGC